CACGCCGUAAACGAUGAGUACUAAGUGUUGGAGAAAUUCAGUGCUGAAGUUAACAUAUUAAGUACUCCGCCUGAGUAGUACGUUCGCAAGAAUGAAACUCAAAGGAAUUGACGGGACCCCGCACAAGCGGUGGAGCAUGUGGUUUAAUUCGAUGCAACGCGAAGAACCUUACCAGGGCUUGACAUGGCAUUAAAGGCUCUAGAGAUAGAGAGAUAGUUAUAGUGCACACAGGUGG
rnacentral:rRNA from 1 species